rnacentral:misc_RNA from 1 species
GAUGAAGAACGUAGCGAAAUGCGAUAAGUAAUGUGAAUUGCAGAAUUCAGUGAAUCAUCGAAUCUUUGAACGCACAUUGCGCCCCCUGGUAUUCCGGGGGGCAUGCCUGUUCGAGCGUCAUUUCACCACUCAAGCCUCGCUUGGUAUUGGGCGACGCGGUCCGCCGCGCGCCUCAAAUCGACCGGCUGGGUCUUCUGUCCCCUCAGCGUUGUGGAAACUAUUCGCUAAAGGGUGCCACGGGAGGCCACGCCGAAAAACAAACCCAUUUCUAAGGUUGACCUCGGAUCAGGUAGGGAUACCCGCUGAACUUAAGCAUAUCAAAAGCGGAGGA